UUCUGUCACUGAUGAGUUGUCAUUACCUACAUUGUUUGAUUUUUAAUGAGAACAAACUUGAUACUGAGAUAGAA